AAGUCGUAACAAGGUUUCCGUAGGUGAACCUGCGGAAGGAUCAUUAUUACGUAUCCACGUAUCAACCCAAUUGUGAACUUGUUUCCCGUUUGAUGAGGAUCUCUGCGACCAAAUGCUCAAAAUGCAUGAUGAGGCUGAAGGGUAGAGGGCCUUGCUUCGGCUGGCUUUUCUUCUUCAGUAUUCAACUUGGUCGGUUCCUGGGAGACAGCUGUGCUUCAUUGCGCGGGCUUCUACCAGCUCAUCAGAUGUGGUUUUUUUUCAUCAUGCUACCAAUUCACCCCAUGUACAAUAACUUGAACUAAACCUUGCUGCCCGAUCAAAAGGGUGGUAAAAAUCCGAAAUUAAAAACAACUCUUAACAACGGAUAUCUUGGUUCUC
rnacentral:misc_RNA from 1 species